rnacentral:rRNA from 1 species
CCUACGGGGGGCAGCAGUGGGGAAUAUUGGACAAUGGGGGGAACCCUGAUCCAGCCAUGCCGCGUGUGUGAAGAAGGCCCUCGGGUUGUAAAGCACUUUCAGUGAGGAAGAACGCCUGGUGGUUAAUACCCAUCAGGAAAGACAUCACUCACAGAAGAAGCACCGGCUAACUCCGUGCCAGCAGCCGCGGUAAUACGGAGGGUGCGAGCGUUAAUCGGAAUUACUGGGCGUAAAGCGCGCGUAGGUGGCUUGAUAAGCCGGUUGUGAAAGCCCCGGGCUCAACCUGGGAACGGCAUCCGGAACUGUCAAGCUAGAGUGUAGGAGAGGAAGGUAGAAUUCCCGGUGUAGCGGUGAAAUGCGUAGAGAUCGGGAGGAAUACCAGUGGCGAAGGCGGCCUUCUGGACUGACACUGACACUGAGGUGCGAAAGCGUGGGUAGCAAACAGGAUUAGAUACCCGAGUAGUC